ACGGAGAGGGCAAGCGUUGUUCGGAUUUAUUGGGCGUAAAGCGCACGUAGGCGGUUUGGUAAGUCGGUUGUGAAAGACCCACGGCUCACCCGGGGGAACGCAUCCGAUACUGCCAGACUUGAGUGCGGGAGAGGGGAGUGGAAUUCCAGGAGGAGCGGUGGCGGGCGUAGAACUCUGGAGGAGCAGCGAGGGCGAAGGCGACUCUCUGGAUCGCAGCUUGCGCUGAGUUGCCUAUCUGUCGGGACCGAAAGG
rnacentral:rRNA from 1 species